rnacentral:rRNA from 1 species
GAUGAACGCUGGCGGCGUGCCUAAUACAUGCAAGUCGAGCGAACGGACGAGAAGCUUGCUUCUCUGAUGUUAGCGGCGGACGGGUGAGUAACACGUGGAUAACCUACCUAUAAGACUGGGAUAACUUCGGGAAACCGGAGCUAAUACCGGAUAAUAUUUUGAACCGCAUGGUUCAAAAGUGAAAGACGGUCUUGCUGUCACUUAUAGAUGGAUCCGCGCUGCAUUAGCUAGUUGGUAAGGUAACGGCUUACCAAGGCAACGAUGCAUAGCCGACCUGAGAGGGUGAUCGGCCACACUGGAACGGAGACACGGUCCAGACUCCUACGGGAGGCAGCAGUAGGGAAUCUUCCGCAGUGGGCGAAAGCCUGACGGAGCAACGCCGCGUGAGUGAUGAAGGUCUUCGGAUCGUAAAACUCUGUUAUUAGGGAAGAACAUAUGUGUAAGUAACUGUGCACAUCUUGACGGUACCUAAUCAGAAAGCCACGGCUAACUACGUG